GUGCUUGCUUCAGCAGCACAUGGGCUAAAAUUGGAAUGAUACAGAAAAGAUUAGGAUGGCCCCAUGUGCAAGUAUGACACAAAAUUUGUGAAGUGCAAUAAACAAAC